rnacentral:rRNA from 1 species
CUUGUGAUGUAAGACUGGUGAUCGCAAGAUUAUCAGCANCCUGAUCCCUUCCCGAACUCAGAAGUGAAACGACGCAUCGCCGAUGGUAGUGUGGGGUCUCCCCAUGUGAGAGUAGGUCAUCGUCAAGC